AGCGAACGCUGGCGGCAGGCUUAACACAUGCAAGUCGAGCGGGCAUCCUUGUGGUGUCAGCGGCAGACGGGUGAGUAACGCGUGGGAACGUGCCCUUCGGUUCGGAAUAACUCAGGGAAACUUGAGCUAAUACCGGAUACGUGCGAGAGCAGAAAGGUUUAUCUGCCGAAGGAUCGGCCCGCGUCUGAUUAGCUAGUUGGUGAGGUUACGGCUCACCAAGGCGACGAUCAGUAGCUGGUCUGAGAGGAUGAUCAGCUACACUGGGACUGAGACACGGCCCAGACUCCUACGGGAGGCAGCAGUGGGGAAUAUUGGACAAUGGGGGCAACCCUGAUCCAGCCAUGCCGCGUGAGUGAUGACGGCCUUAGGGUUGUAAAGCUCUUUUCUCCGGGACGAUAAUGACGGUACCGGAGGAAUAAGCCCCGGCUAACUUCGUG
rnacentral:rRNA from 1 species